ensembl:rRNA 5S_rRNA 5S ribosomal RNA
GUCUACAGCCAUGCCAUCCAAUCUCAAAAGCUAAGCAGCGUGGGGCCUGGUUAGUAGUAUUGGGAUUGGGAGGCUGCCUGAAAAUACUGGGUGCUGUAGGCU